CUCCUUGUAGCUUAGUAGUAGAGCAUUGGUUCGUAAAACCAGGGAUUCGGGUUCCAUUCCCGGCGAGGGCG
rnacentral:tRNA from 1 species